CCGUUGAGUGCAAACGCAUAAGGGAGCUUGACUGCGAGACAGACAUGUCGAGCAGGUACGAAAGUAGGUGUUAGUGAUCCGGUGGUCCCGCAUGGAAGGGCCAUCGCUCAUCGGAUAAAAGGUACGCCGGGGAUAACAGGCUGAUCGCAUCCAAGAGUUCACAUCGACGAUGCGGUUUGGCACCUCGAUGUCGGCUCAUCACAUCCUGGGGCUGGAGCAGGUCCCAAGGGUACGGCUGUUCGCCGUUUAAAGUGGUACGCGAGCUGGGUUUAAAACGUCGUGAGACAGUUUGGUCCCUAUCUUCUGUGGGCGUAGGAGAAUUGAGUGGGUCUGUUCCUAGUACGAGAGGACCGGAAUGGACGAUUCCCUAGUGGACCUGUUGUCACGCCAGUGGCAUAGCAGGGUAGCUAUAAUCGGAAUGGAUAACCGCUGAAAGCAUCUAAGCGGGAAACCAGCCACAAGAUAAGUUCUCCCUUGUCGCAAGACACUGAAGAUCCCAGGCAGACCACCUGGUAGAUAGGCCGGAAGUGUAAGCGCAGUAAUGUGUUCAGCUGACCGGUACUAAUAGAUCGUGAGUCUUAACUCU
rnacentral:rRNA from 1 species